GAAAGGCUGCGCGAAGUGUGCACUGGGACGUGGAGUAGAAGGCUACGACUGGCAAAGAUGAGGGAGGCUGAAGCGGCCCAGGGGCAGGCAGGAGAUGAGACGUAUCUUGACAUCUUCCGCGACUUCUCCCUCAUGGCGUCAGACGACCCGGAGAAGCUGAGCCGUCGCAGUCAUGACCUCCACACGCUGUGACCCGAGGCCCACGGGGCCCGCGCCUGCCUCCCUUCCCCGCCACCGGGCCCUCUGCCAUUAAAGCCUCCGUGCUUCGCUCUUC
rnacentral:misc_RNA from 1 species